UUAUAUAUAGAUGCUAAUUUAACAAUAUUUUUCAUUUCAAUUAAUAAAUUUAGUGCAUUUUCGAAUAUUCAAAAUUUAUAUAUUAACAAUCAUAAUAUUGAAAAUGAUAAAUUGAAAGUUCAGCUUAAUAAUUCCUGCAUAGUCAAAACAGAAACAGCCAUACAAGACGGAGCUAACUCAUACACCACUACACUUGCAAAUUUUUUCAGCUUUUACCAACACAUACACAAUAGCAACUUUUUGUAGUUAAUGGCAAACUCGGUAGUUAGAGUGACAACAUUCAUUAACCCUGAUUUUUGUAUGUAUAAGAGAGAGAUGCACGUACUACAAUGGAUGUGGAUGUAAAGCGGUACUAUUGUUGACUGGAUGCUGCAGCGUAUUUUAAGGAAAUGACUGCAGAAAAUGGCAAAGCGAGCUGUAACGCACAUCUGGUGCGUACAUGCUAAACUAAAAAGAGAAGCAGAACUAGGAUUAUGCCACUUUAGGCAGAUGGAUAUUUGCAAACUUCUUCUUCUUCUUGACUGGCGCAGACACCGCUUAGGCGGUUAUAGCCGAGUCCAAAACAGCGCGCCACGCAUCCCUCCUUCUGGCAGUUUGGCGCCAAUUGGUUAUUCCAAGCGAAGCCAGGUCCCUCUCCACCUGGUCCUUCCAUCGGAGUGGAGGUCUCCCUCUUCGUCGGCUUCCACCAGCGGGUACUGCAUCGAAUACUUUCAGAGCUGGAGCACUUUCAUCCAUUCGAACAACAUGACCUAGCCAGCGUAGCCGCUGUUUUUUUAUUCGCUGGACUAUGUCUAUGUCGUCGAAUAACACAUACAGCUCAUCGUUCCAUCGUCUGCGGUAUUCGCCGUUGCCAAUUCUUAAGGGACCAUAAAUCUUCCGCAAAACCUUUCUCUCGAAAACUCCUAGUGCCGUCUCAUCGGAUGUUGACAUCGUCCACGCUUCUGCACCGUAAAGUAGGACGGGAAUGAUGAGAGACUUGUAGAGUUUGGUUUUUAUUCGUCGAGAGAGGACUUUACUUUCCAAUUGCCUACUUAGUCCAUAGUAGCACCUGUUGGCAAGAGUGAUUCUGCGUUGGAUUUCCAGGCUGACAUUGUUAUUGCUGUUAAUGCUGGUUCCCAGGUAGACGAAAUUAUCUACAACUUCAAAGUUAUGAUAUGGUUAUGUGCACAAUGCAGCUGCGCCAUUGGACACUGUGUAUAGGUUAGACAAUAACGGCACAGAGUGGCAGCAGGUCGCCAAUUUGUUGAAACCACGUUUUGAAGCAAACGUCACGGUAUUUGAGAAUAAAAUAUACGUGUUUGGUGGCUUGUCAGCUGCAGGAAUGCAAUGUGCUGAUAUGCUGGAACCACGCGGUAAUGUUGGUUUGACAAUAACAAAGGGCCAAAUUUAUGUGUUAGGCGGUACAAAAAGUGUUGGUGGCGUUUGUGUGCAAUUUUAUGAUCCAUUCAAAAAUGUGUGGACAAAGAUUUCUCCAAUGAAUAUUGAACGUAGCAACACAUGUGGCUUAUAACUAAACGAACGCAUUCUAGCCAAUGGCGGUCUGGCAAAUUCAAAGGAUAAUUAACAGAGCUCUAAAAACAACAUUGAGGCGCCGAAGUUGUUCAUCUUGCUUCUAAUUUGAUUAAGGAGGCAUUAUUAGGCUGAACAUUUAACAUUUUCAAUAUUGUGAUUGUUAACUUAUAAAUUUUGAACGUACGCAAUAGCACUCAAUUUAUUAAUUUAGAUGUAAAAUAAUGUUAAAUUAGCAUCUAUAUACAACUGAAUGUACAAAUAGUAGUGAAAAUUAAUUUGCAU